CUGCAGCCCGAGUGGUGAUCGAUUUUAUUGAGCCUAAAGCGUCCGUAGCCGGACUAGUAAACCCUUGAGUAAAUUGGGCAGCUUAACUGUCCAAAUUCCGAGGGGACUGCUAGUCUUGGGACCGGGAGAGGUCAGAGGUACUCAAGGGGUAGGGGCUAAAUCCUGUAAUCCUUUGGGGACCACCAGUGGCGAAGGCGUCUGACUAGAACGGAUCCGACGGUAAGGGACGAAACCCUGGGGCGCGAACCGGAUUAGAUACCCGAGUAGUCC
rnacentral:rRNA from 1 species